CCUGGCUCAGGACGAACGCUGGCGGCGUGCUUAACACAUGCAAGUCGAACGAAGCUUGAUUGCGGAUUCUUCGGAUGAAGUAUGAUAUGACUGAGUGGCGGACGGGUGAGUAACGCGUGAGUAACCUGCCCUUCAGAGGGGGAUAGCGUUUGGAAACGAACGGUAAUACCGCAUAAUGUAUUUUGACCGCAUGAUCGAAAUACCAAAGAUUUAUCGCUGAAGGAUGGACUCGCGUCUGAUUAGGUAGUUGGUGGGGUAACGGCCUACCAAGCCGACGAUCAGUAGCCGGACUGAGAGGUUGAUCGGCCACAUUGGGACUGAGACACGGCCCAGACUCCUACGGGAGGCAGCAGUGGGGAAUAUUGCACAAUGGGCGCAAGCCUGAUGCAGCAACGCCGCGUGAAGGAAGACGGUUUUCGGAUUGUAAACUUCUGUUCUUAGUGAAGAAUAAUGACGGUAGCUAAGGAGCAAGCCACGGCUAACUACGUGCCAGCAGCCGCGGUAAUACGUAGGUGGCAAGCGUUGUCCGGAAUUACUGGGUGUAAAGGGAGCGCAGGCGGGUGAUCAAGUCAGCUGUGAAAACUACGGGCUUAACCCGUAGACUGCAGUUGAAACUGUUCAUCUUGAGUGAAGUAGAGGUUGGCGGAAUUCCGAGUGUAGCGGUGAAAUGCGUAGAUAUUCGGAGGAACACCGGUGGCGAAGGCGGCCAACUGGGCUUUAACUGACGCUGAGGCUCGAAAGUGUGGGGAGCAAACAGGAUUAGAUACCCUGGUAGUCCACACUGUAAACGAUGAUUGCUAGGUGUGGGGGGUCUGACCCCUUCCGUGCCGGAGUAACGCAAUAAGCAAUCCACCUGGGGAGUACGACCGCAAGGUUGAAACUCAAAGGAAUUGACGGGGACCCGCACAAGCAGUGGAUUAUGUGGUUUAAUUCGAAGCAACGCGAAGAACCUUACCAGCACUUGACAUCCAACUAACGAAAUAGAGAUAUAUUAGGUGCCCUUCGGGGAAAGUUGAGACAGGUGGUGCAUGGUUGUCGUCAGCUCGUGUCGUGAGAUGUUGGGUUAAGUCCCGCAACGAGCGCAACCCUCGCCAUUAGUUGCUACGCAAGAGCACUCUAAUGGGACCGCUACCGACAAGGUGGAGGAAGGUGGGGACGACGUCAAAUCAUCAUGCCCCUUAUGUGCUGGGCUACACACGUAAUACAAUGGCCAUCAACAGAGAGAAGCAAUACCGCGAGGUGGAGCAAAACUUCAAAAAUGGUCUCAGUUCGGACUGCAGGCUGCAACCCGCCUGCACGAAGUUGGAAUUGCUAGUAAUCGUGGAUCAGCAUGCCACGGUGAAUACGUUCCCGGGUCUUGUACACACCGCCCG
rnacentral:rRNA from 1 species